rnacentral:rRNA from 1 species
AUUGAACGCUGGCGGCAUGCCUUACACAUGCAAGUCGAACGGCAGCACGGGGGCAACCCUGGUGGCGAGUGGCGAACGGGUGAGUAACAUAUCGGAACAUACCCUAGAGUGGGGGAUAACGUAGCGAAAGUUACGCUAAUACCGCAUACGCACUAAGGUGGAAAGUGGGGGAUCUUCGGACCUCAUGCUCAUGGAGUGGCCGAUAUCUGAUUAGCUAGUUGGUGAGGUAAAGGCUCACCAAGGCGACGAUCAGUAGCUGGUUUGAGAGAACGACCAGCCACACUGGAACUGAGACACGGUCCAGACUCCUACGGGAGGCAGCAGUGGGGAAUUUUGGACAAUGGGGGGCAACCCUGAUCCAGCAAUGCCGCGUGAGUGAAGAAGGCCUCGG